CACCUCCACAACCCCCACUCACCCGCACAUCCCCUCCCCUCGAUCUCCCACGAUCCCCUCUCUUCCUCGGUCACUCCUCCCCCCUCUCCCGAUCCCAUCUGGAUCGGGCCAACCGCCCCGCACUCGCCUGCCACCGCAUCGGCGCCACCUCGCCACGACUUCGCCCCGCCGUACCCAGCCGCGGUCGUCGCUGCUCCCGGUGAGCCGCCCCGCGGCGCCACCACCAACGGGCCCCCCUUGCUGGCCCGCAUCAUUCUAGAUCGAGGCAACCGCCUCUACCUCGCCGCCGGACACCGCUCACCGGAGCCGCUCCGCGUCGCCUCGCCUCCUCACCUCUCCCCCGUCGGCUUCGUCGAGCCUCGCCGACCCAUUCAACUACAAUGGGGCUCUUCUUCCUCAAACUGAAUCUCUAUAUCGCCUGCAUACACACCAUAGUCUUCCUCGUCAACUUGAAGGUUAUUUAGAGCUUCAUCCAUUGCUUGCACUUCCUCUUCCAUGCUCUGGAAAACACCGCCUUGUUCUUCAAGUUCAUGGUCUACAAGGUUCUCUUCUCCAUGGGCAACAUUGGCCUCAUGUUCCUCUUCUCCAUGGGCAAUGUCGGGCUCAUGUUCAUCUUCUACAUGAAGACCGACAUGGGGUUCUUCAUGCAAGGCAGCCUCAAGUUCGUCCUCUAUGGCGAAGAAGAAUAAUCAGCAGGUGCACAUGAACAAAGAGAACAAAGGAGUAGACGAUCAAGAUGUACCUGGGCUCAUGUUCAGAUCGAUUUGACGACCAACCUGGAGCAGUUCUUCAUGCAAGGCAACCUCAAGUUCGUCCUCUAUGGCAAAGAAGAAUCAUCAGCAUGUGCACAUGAACAAGGAGAACAAAUGAAAAGAUGAUCAAGAUGUACCUGGGUUCAGGUUCAAAUCGAUUUGAUGACCAACCUGGAGCAAUUCUUCAUGCAAGGGAGGCACAUGUUCAACUUCUCCCUCUCCUGGUGCUAUGUUCAAGUCAAUGGCCAUGGCCUCUCUAUGUGUUGUUCUACUUGGCGCUAGUUUGCUGCUUGUUCUACUUGGUGCUACUGUGCUAGCUUUAUAGCUGGUUGUUCUACUUGAAAUCUGGCUCAUAGCUCAAUUCUGUAAUUUGCCGCUUCUAAUUCUGUAAUCUGGCGCCAUAUUGUACUAGUACUCAGCUACUAGUUGUGGAUGGUGGGAAGUGUUGUGGCGGGAACAAUUCUCUGUUGGCAAAGCUGUAUUUACUUCUCCCUUCUCAUUUAUUAUCAACGGGAAUCGAAGCAUUGGUACA